rnacentral:tRNA from 1 species
GUUUAUUUAGUUUAAAUUAAAACAACAAAUUGUGAUUUUGUAGAUAAUUGUAACGA